GACGAACGCUGGCGGCGUGCUUAACACAUGCAAGUCGAACGGAAAGGCCCUGCUUUUGUGGGGUGCUCGAGUGGCGAACGGGUGAGUAACACGUGAGUAACCUGCCCUUGACUUUGGGAUAACUUCAGGAAACUGGGGCUAAUACCGGAUAGGAGCUCCUGCUGCAUGGUGGGGGUUGGAAAGUUUCGGCGGUUGGGGAUGGACUCGCGGCUUAUCGGCUUGUUGGUGGGGUAGUGGCUUACCAAGGCUUUGACGGGUAGCCGGCAUGAGAGGGUGACCGGCCACAUUGGGACUGAGAUACGGCCCAGACUCCUACGGGAGGCAGCAGUGGGGAAUAUUGCACAAUGGGCGGAAGCCUGAUGCAGCAACGCCGCGGGCGGGAUGACGGCCUUCGGGUUGUAAACCGCUUUCGCCUGUGACGAAGCGUGAGUGACGGUAAUGGGUAAAGAAGCACCGGCUAACUACGUG
rnacentral:rRNA from 1 species